AUUGAACGCUGGCUGCAGGCCUAACACAUGCAAGUCGAACGAUUGGCGGACGGGUGAGUAAUGUCUGGGAAACUGCCUGAUGGAGGGGGAUAACUACUGGAAACGGUAGCUAAUACCGCAUACCAUCAGAUGUGCCCAGAUGGGAUUGGCUCGUUGGUGGGGGAACGGCUCACCAAGGCGACGAUCCCUAGCUGGUCUGAGAGGAUGACCAGCAACACUGGAACUGAGACACGGACCAGAAGACUACGGGAGGCAGCAGUGGGGAAUAUUGCACAAUGGGAGGAAGCCUGAUGCAGCCAUGCCGCGUGGAUGAAGAAGGCGUUCGGGUUGUAAAGUACUUUCAGCGGGGAGGCGUUACACGCAGAAGAAGCACCGGCUAACUCCGUGCCAGCAGCCGCGGUAAUUC
rnacentral:rRNA from 1 species